rnacentral:misc_RNA from 1 species
AGUCAGUGACAUUUUUUCCAAUUUUCAAAGAUAAAAAUUCUUUGUUGUUUCUAUUAAAAGAGUGUACAUUUCUUCAACUAAUUUUUUGUUAUGUGACUUCUAGUUGUUAAUCUUCAAUGAGUGAAGGCAUCCUUUUGCAUUAUUUUAUUCAAAAAAUUAAUGAUAAUAUGUUGAAAGUUUGUGUACCAUUGUAUUGUAAUUAAUUUGCUUGUGAUCAUUUGAAUAUGUAUUGUCCUCUCUUGUCCUCUUAAAAACUCAUUAAUGUUUGUUUUAAUUAUAUAAACUGGUGUGGUUUGCAAAAUGUACUGAUUUUUAUGUUAUAUAUCACCAUUGUAGCAUUUUACAGUCUUUCACUAUCCAUGCUCUCUGCAAUCAUUCCGUGUUUCUAGGUACCUUUUGAAUUCAGAUGUUGUACAUGUAUUUCUGACAUAGUUAAAAAGACUCGCAUAGAUUAGUGACUGUUGAAAAAUCCAUGAAUGAACCAAAAUGUCAUUUGUAUUUGUUAACUCGUUUCUGUUAUUGGUUUUUAAAGAUUGAAACAAUUUUAUAUUAAUUGUUCAUAUAUAUAUAUGUUGCACCAGUAUGUAUAAUCAUUUUCUUAUACAUGUUCAACAUUACUUUUUUCUGAAAAAUAAAUAAUUUAAAAUCUUAC